rnacentral:ncRNA from 2 species
AGUAUAGAAAAAGUAAUAGGUGCCUCUUUUGAGGAUAAUAGGGAAUGAAGUGAAAAACUUCAACGGUCCCACCACUGUAAUGGGGAGUUUCAUUGCUGAUACCACUGAAUAUCUUAUUUGGGAAGGUGCAAUGGAAUGAAGAUCCUGAGUCAGGAGACCUGCCUAUCACUUUUUUAUGUG